rnacentral:lncRNA from 1 species
AUUUUAUAAUCCUAGCUUUUGUAAAGUUUUAUUUCUUGUUACUUCUGUUUAAAGAGUAAUGAGAAAUAAAAAAAAAUUUUAUUAAUUUUGUAUUGUAAAGAAUAUAUUAUAGUAAAAAUCAAUGUGAAGUGGAAAAUGUCGGUGUUUAAGAAUGUAUGUCACAUAAAAGUAGCCUGAAGGAUAGAGAUUUACUUAGAUUUUUUUUAAACUUGACUAAUAACAAAGCUCACUUUCUGUAAAUUUUUAACAAAGAUUUUCUGACACUAUUUCACCAGAUGUCCAAUUAUAUAUUUAGUAUCACUUUUAGGUAAAUGACGUAACUCAGUUGCAAAUAUUUUGGGAUAAAUAUUAGUUCUAGUGAGCAUUAGAUUUACAUAUAUCCUAUGAAAACACUAUGUAAGUACAAUAGUAAUAGAAAUGGCAUUAUGAUGCUGUUAUUAUAGCUAUGGAAAGUUAAUGAUAAAUAUGCAGUAGAUUGUUAUUAGCAAUUCUGACUUUAUUAAGAGAGAACAUAUAUUCACAGAAUUUUUGCUGCAUAGCACAAAAUUUUUCUAUGGUCUUUUUGCUUUGGUAAAUUAGUCUGCAUUCUCAAUUUGUGUAUUCCAUAUCCAGGAUGGUCUGCUUUUAGAGUUAGGUACAUUGAUAAAUAAAAACAGAUUUUUUUCCCCCUCUUAAGUUACUUCAAGUUUACAGGUCUCUCAUAUUCACCCUUUCACACCUCGUUUCCUAGUGCCUUUACAGCAAGAUUCCAUGGACUAGAAAAAUAAAAUGCAUUUUGGAGAUGAUAUCGAAUCAUAAAAUAUAUGUUUCAGUAUUAAUUCAGAUGUACAAAGUAAUUCUGAAUUGAUAAUAAGACAACAUUGUAAGUACAAAAUGUAAAAAAUUUGGAGAUAAGUCUGCAAAUAGUCUCUUGCUGGUCAACUUAUCAGCACAGUGUGGGUAGGGUAGUAUAUGAUUGACCUAUUUCUUUCACUUUUAAAGGUUGAAGGGAUGAAAUGAUUUGAGUAGAGCCCAACAACAGUUUUUUUAGGGCAAUGGGAAAUUUUUUUGACCUACCUCAUUAUUUUUGUACUAUCGGUGUAAGCCUAGAGGGUUUUAUACUCAGGGAGCUGUGAAUAAAUAAAUAAACCUCCCUCUUGGCUGUUACCAUUCUUGUGUAAUUAAUAUGUCAAACUUGGGUUGAUGUGUAUUGUAGACACAUGGGCAUUGGCGAUGUAUAUAAUAUCCAAUGAUUCUGUAGUACAUAUUUCGUGUUAUGGUAAUGUCCAACAGUUUUGUCCUCUAACCUUAGGCUACAAGUUUAAUACAUGCUAAUUUCUUUGUAUGUUUCAACUAUUGCACAUAAUAGCUUAUGUUACUAAUUCUGAAUGAAAAGUAAUGUAUGCUCAAAUAAUGGUAACCAUUGCUGUUUGUAUCCAUAACUGCAAUAUUUUAUCGUGUACAUUGAGACUGAGCCAUAUAAUGUGUAAAACAUUGAUUUCUGUAAGUGGUUGCUGUCAAAAAUGUUACAGUUCAUCAUCCAAUGCCUUGUCAGACAUUUUCAAUGUAAAUAUAUGUAAAAUCACAUUCUUAUGCAGUCUAAUUUUGUAUGUCAUUCCACUUUAUCUCACAUUCUGCCUGUUUCCUCUCUCCAUAUUCACAUAAUGAAAUUUCUAAACAGUACAAAGUAGUAUGCUGCUUGACUAAAUUGCAGCAGCAGUAGGAUUGUUCAUGUGAAAAGUUUAGAACUUCCAGAUGUAAGUAUCAGUAACAAGUCUUCACAAU